GUGACUAAUUGCAGUUCGUAAGACACGUGACAGAUGUGGUCAGGUGACUAAUUGCAGUUCGUAAGACACGUGACUGAUGUGGUCAGGUGACUGAUGCAGUGAAUCUCCAAGCUUUCCCGUGGGGGGGGGGGGGAUG